rnacentral:misc_RNA from 1 species
GAUGAAGAACGCAGCGAAAUGCGAUACGUAAUGUGAAUUGCAGAAUUCAGUGAAUCAUCGAGUCUUUGAACGCACAUUGCGCCCCCUGGUAUUCUGGGGGGCAUGCCUGUCCGAGCGUCAUUGCUGCCCUCAAGCACGGCUUGUGUGUUGGGCCUCCGUCCUCCUCCCGGGGGACGGGCCCGAAAGGCAGCGGCGGCACCGCGUCCGGUCCUCGAGCGUAUGGGGCUUCGUCACCCGCUCUUGUAGGCCCGGCCGGCGCUUGCCGACACAUCAAUCUUUUUUCCAGGUUGACCUCGGAUCAGGUAGGGAUACCCGCUGAACUUAAGCAUAUCAAUAAGGGAGGA